rnacentral:rRNA from 1 species
AGAGUUUGAUCCUGGCUCAGAUUGAACGCUGGCGGCAUGCCUUACACAUGCAAGUCGAACGGUAACGGGCCUUCGGGUGCCGACGAGUGGCGAACGGGUGAGUAAUGCAUCGGAACGUACCUUUCAGUGGGGAUAACGUAGCGAAAGUUACGCUAAUACCGCAUAUUCUGUGAGCAGGAAAGCAGGGGAUCGCAAGACCUUGCGCUGAUUGAGCGGCCGAUGUCAGAUUAGCUAGUUGGUGAGGUAAAGGCUCACCAAGGCGACGAUCUGUAGCGGGUCUGAGAGGAUGAUCCGCCACACUGGAACUGAGACACGGUCCAGACUCCUACGGGAGGCAGCAGUGGGGAAUUUUGGACAAUGGGGGCAACCCUGAUCCAGCCAUGCCGCGUGAGUGAAGAAGGCCUUCGGGUUGUAAAGCUCUUUCGGCCGGGAAGAAAUCGUAUGGGCUAAUACCCUGUGCGGAUGACGGUACCGGCAUAAGAAGCACCGGCUAACUACGUG